UUAGAUCUCAUCAUUGUUGUGUUUCCCAUUUCCCCCAUGAUCACGCUCACCUGUGUUGGAUUAUCACUUUAGUGCCACAUAAUUUAAGUUCCUGUUUUCUCAUUGUGUCUUGGUCUUGUUACUGUUGAUGCUACAGUGUGUCUCAUCCUUGUCCUCAUGUGGGCCUGGAUGAGGCAGUUCGUAGUUGGGAAGAACACAGAAGCAUUAACUCCUGGCUCUAAGGGAUCUAAGUUCGUAUGAUGGCCAAUGCGUAAGUAAUUCAUCCCGAGGUGUUUAAUCUACAGCUCAGGUGUCCUCAGUGAAAUUGUCCUACAGCUGCUUGUUCCCGGAGGUCAGGAAAGUGUUCUGGUCUGCUGAUGGAGACAACCUUCAGUUCAGCUGGACUUCUGAAUCAAACACUCGGUUGGAGGACGACAACAAGUCUCUCGUACUGGAUAAAAGUCAUAAAGAAAAUGUCACCUGUAAUGUCGAAUAUCACGUCAGUCAUGUCUACAAUUCAACGGAACGGCCAAAAUGUACCAGUGAGUCUGUCUUUUUUAAAUAACAUUAGAAAAUAUUUAUUCUGUUUUUAUACUUCUGCAUUUUUAAAUAGAUGGAGCCUCAUUUGCAUAAAUAAAUAUAAAUACAUAAAACAAAAUCGGGAAAGGAAAUCAGGUGUGGAUGAAUGUUUAUAUUUUAUACUUCUGUAAAGCUGCCUUGAGACAAUGUCCAUUGUUGAAGUGCUUAUACACAUAACUGAAUUAAGCAACAGUUACAGCAACAAUGAGUCAUCAGCUUUAAUGCCAAUACUCAUACCCUGGUAAAUACAAAGGCAAAACUGUGUGAUCAAAAGCUUUCAUGUUUUAACCUUUAAAAGGUUUUAUUCCUGAGAUAUAUUAUAUCCUGGGUUAACUGAUGACAUCACUGCUAUCCAGUGGCUUUUACCUAGUGACAACAUCCCCUUUAUAUUUUAAGCCCAUUGUAAUGCUGUGAUUCUACAGUGGCAACAAUUUAAUAAAAUACUAAAUAUUUUUGAAAUGUAAAUCUAAUUUCUAAGUCCUAUGUACUGAAUGUGUGAAU